rnacentral:rRNA from 1 species
CCUACGGGAGGCAGCAGUGAGGAAUAUUGGUCAAUGGACGAGAGUCUGAACCAGCCAAGUAGCGUGAAGGAUGACUGCCCUAUGGGUUGUAAACUUCUUUUAUAUGGGAAUAAAACGUUCCACGUGUGGGAUUUUGUAUGUACCAUAUGAAUAAGGAUCGGCUAACUCCGUGCCAGCAGCCGCGGUAAUACGGAGGGUCCGAGCGUUAUCCGGAUUUAUUGGGUUUAAAGGGAGCGUAGGUGGAUUGUUAAGUCAGUUGUGAAAGUUUGCGGCUCAACCGUAAAAUUGCAGUGGAAACUGGCAGUCUUGAGUACAGUAGAGGUGGGCGGAAUUCGUGGUGUAGCGGUGAAAUGCUUAGAUAUCACGAAGAACUCCGAUGGCGAAGGCAGUUCACUGGACUGCAACUGACACUGAGGCUCGAAAGUGUGGGUAUCAAACAGGAUUAGAUACCCGGGUAGUC